CAGUAGCCACGGUAAAACGUAGGGUGCAAGCGUUAAUCGGAAUUACUGGGCGUAAAGCGUGCGCAGGCGGUUCUAUAAGUCAGAUGUGAAAUUCCUGGGCUUAACCUGGGGGCUGCAUUUGAUACGUGCUGGCUUGAGUGUGGAAGAGGGUCGUGGAAUCCCCAGUGUAGGGGUGAAAUUCGUAGAUAUUGGGAAGAACACCGGUGGCGAAGGCGGCAACCUGGUCCAUUACUGACGCUGAGGCGCGAAAGCGUGGGGAGCAAACAGGAUUAGAUACCCGGGUAGUCCCUGUCUCUUAUAC
rnacentral:rRNA from 1 species